AUUGAACGCUGGCGGCAGGCCUAACACAUGCAAGUCGAGCGAGCGGCGGACGGGUGAGUAAUGCCUAGGAAUUUGCCCGAUGGUGGGGGAUAAAUACUGGAAACGGAAGCUAAUACCGCAUACGAUCGGAUGUGUCCAGAUGGGAUUAGCUAGUAGGUGGGGUAACGGCUCACCUAGGCGACGAUCCCUAGCUGGUCCGAGAGGAGGACCGGCCACACUGGAACUGAGACACGGCCCAGACUCCUACGGGAGGCAGCAGUGGGGAAUCUUGGGAAAUGGGCGAAAGCCUGAUCCAGCAAUGCCGCGUGAUUGAAGAAGGCUUUCGGGUUGUAAAGUACUUUCGGCAGGGAAGCGUUACCCAAAGAGAAAGCACCGGCUAACUCCGUGCCAGCAGCCGCGGUAAUUC
rnacentral:rRNA from 1 species